rnacentral:rRNA from 1 species
UGGGUAACCUGCCUCAAAGAGGGGAAUAGUCUCCCGAAAGGGAGAUUAAUACCGCAUAAUAUGUUUAGGUCGCAUGACUUUAACAUCAAAGGAUUUUCUUUUAAGAAAUUCCACUUUGAGAUGGACCCGCGGCGCAUUAGCUAGUUGGUGAGGUAACGGCUCACCAAGGCAACGAUGCGUAGCCGACCUGAGAGGGUGAUCGGCCACAUUGGAACUGAGACACGGUCCAGACUCCGUAGGGAG